GUCUUGUAAUUGGAAUGAUGGGAAUUUAAACCUCUUCCAGAGUAUCAAUUGGAGGGCAAGUCUGGUGCCAGCAGCCGCGGUAAUUCCAGCUCCAAUAGCGUAUAUUAAAAUUGUUGCAGUUAAAAAGCUCGUAGUUGAAUUUCUGCUGCAUUGCUUGUGUCCCUCUGGGGUCUGUGCAUGUGGCUUUUUUCGGACGGAGUUUCUUUGUCUGAAUGUUUACUUUGAGAAAAUUAGAGUGCUCAAAGCAGGCUUUCGCCUUGAAUAGUUUAGCAUGGAAUAAUAAAGUAGGACUUUGGUUCUAUUUUGUUGGUUUUAGGUACCAAAGUAAUGGUUAAUAGGAACAGUUGGGGGCAUUCGUAUUUAACUGUCAGAGGUGAAAUUCUUAGAUUUGUUAAAGACGAACUACUGCGAAAGCAUUUGCCAAGGAUGUUUUCAUUAAUCAAGAACGAAAGUUAGGGGAUCGAAGACGAUCAGAUACCGUCGUAGUCCUAACCAUAAACUAUGCCGACUAGAGAUUGGAGGUCGUCAGUUUUUACGACUCCUUCAGCACCUUGAGAGAAAUCAAAGUCUUUGG
rnacentral:rRNA from 1 species